AUUGAACGCUGGCGGCAGGCCUAGCACAUGCAAGUCGAGCGGAUGAAGGGAGCUUGCUCCUGGAUUCAGCGGCGGACGGGUGAGUAAUGCCUAGGAAUCUGCCUGGUAGUGGGGGAUAACGUCCGGAAACGGGCGCUAAUACCGCAUACGUCCUGAGGGAGAAAGUGGGGGAUCUUCGGACCUCACGCUAUCAGAUGAGCCUAGGUCGGAUUAGCUAGUUGGUGGGGUAAAGGCCUACCAAGGCGACGAUCCGUAACUGGUCUGAGAGGAUGAUCAGUCACACUGGAACUGAGACACGGUCCAGACUCCUACGGGGGGCAGCAGUGGGGAAUAUUGGACAAUGGGCGAAAGCCUGAUCCAGCCAUGCCGCGUGUGUGAAGAAGGUCUUCGGAUUGUAAAGCACUUUAAGUUGGGAGGAAGGGCAGUAAGUUAAUACCUUGCUGUUUUGACGUUACCAACAGAAUAAGCACCGGCUAACUUCGUG
rnacentral:rRNA from 1 species